GUUGAAGUUCAGGUAACACUGAAUGGAGGACCGAACCGACUUACGUUGAAAAGUGAGCGGAUGAACUGAGGGUAGCGGAGAAAUUCCAAUCGAACCUGGAGAUAGCUGGUUCUCUCCGAAAUAGCUUUAGGGCUAGCCUCAAGUGAUGAUUAUUGGAGGUAGAGCACUGUUUGGACGAGGGGCCCCUCUCGGGUUACCGAAUUCAGACAAACUCCGAAUGCCAAUUAAUUUAACUUGGGAGUCAGAACAUGGGUGAUAAGGUCCGUGUUCGAAAGGGAAACAGCCCAGACCACCAGCUAAGGUCCCAAAAUAUAUGUUAAGUGGAAAAGGAUGUGGCGUUGCCCAGACAACUAGGAUGUUGGCUUAGAAGCAGCCAUCAUUUAAAGAGUGCGUAAUAGCUCACUAGUCGAGUGACACUGCGCCGAAAAUGUACCGGGGCUAAACAUAUUACCGAAGCUGUGGAUUGUCCUUUGGACAAUGGUAGGAGAGCGUUCUAAGGGCGUUGAAGCAUGAUCGUAAGGACAUGUGGAGCGCUUAGAAGUGAGAAUGCCGGUGUGAGUAGCGAAAGACGGGUGAGAAUCCCGUCCACCGAUUGACUAAGGUUUCCAGAGGAAGGCUCGUCCGCUCUGGGUUAGUCGGGUCCUAAGCUGAGGCCGACAGGCGUAGGCGAUGGAUAACAGGUUGAUAUUCCUGUACCACCUAUAAUCGUUUUAAUCGAUGGGGGGACGCAGUAGGAUAGGCGAAGCGUGCGAUUGGAUUGCACGUCUAAGCAGUAAGGCUGAGUAUUAGGCAAAUCCGGUACUCGUUAAGGCUGAGC
rnacentral:rRNA from 1 species